UUGCUGCUAACUUGCGCUGUUCGUGCUUUUCCAUUUGGGCCGAAACGAAUCAGCAGAAUUCAAAAACCCGCCCGAACAAGCGGGCUGGGCCAGCCCGCGCUUUCGUCCCUCUACUUCCCCGACGAGCGCGGGGCCGCCGCCGGCGGGGACCCUCGACGACUCGGGGGUCGGUGCUCAGGCUCAACCAGGCAUCCUGCAGCGCAGGAUUGGGCCCGAUUGGCGCAACUCAGGGGAUCCACGGUGCAGAGGCACCGUUCUGUUGAUUUGCUGCCUUGGACCCGGCACGCACAGGAAGGAGGGUCCAUGGAUGGGCUAUAGACCUCAGACCUGCAGUCUUUGCCCUGGAGCAGGCGGCGGCUCCCUUUCACGCGCUGCGCCGCUGCAUCACUUGGCGUGGCGACGUGGGCUUCAGUCUUGAGGUACUUAGGCUCUUGACGUUUCUCUCGUUCUUGUAAUAAACUGAUGGAAGGUUCCUCUUCCUCUGUUCCGCGUUGAACCCGGUUGCUGUUGGGUAGGAGUUGGAUCGCUUCUGCCUGUCAUAGUCCAUUUUUUCCCCUUAAGGGCCGGUGACAUUA